rnacentral:lncRNA from 1 species
GCUCACUAUGCUUAAGGUUAGAGAAGAACAAAUACACUUUUGGUUCUGUUGGUGUUUUCCACCAAUAGGGCCCAUGCACUUGAUUUCUGUCUUGUCUCUAUGAGUAGGUACACUUCGAGCAAAAUAUGGAGGAUUUUUACAACUCCCAGACUCCACCAAGUGAAGGACCUAGAUCUACGAGCACAAACACACUGAGUAGGAUGCUGCCAAUGCCGCACUUCGAACUGCUGGGCAUACAAAGAACAUGGGUGACACCGUAUCAAGAGGUGCAGACGUCAAGGUCCACACCUGAAUCAAAUGACACACCUAAAGAAUGAACAUGGUGAGAAGUCUUGUUCAGAAGACUUAAAACAUUGAACCCUUGUCGAAAGGUAAAAUCGGUAGUUAUCCAUAUUUAUCCUUUCUGCAUUCCCUUUUUCCUUAAAUUAUUUACUUUCCUUAAAUAGCUUGUUAGUUAAUCAUGCUAUCUUGAAAAGAAAUUAAAAAUGUUAAAAACAGUAAGCCCCAUGUGAGUAUGCUCGUGGCAUAAAACCCAUAAGUACAUUCACUGUGGUGGCGUAAAAAUAAAAAUAUUCCUAUCUUAUAAAAAUGAAAAUAUAAAAAUAAAUUUAUGAUCCUACCAAAGAGAGUAAUAUUUAUUAGGGGAAGCUCAACAUGAUAACGGCUAAGAGAUUUUAUGCAAACAUUUAACCAAUUCCACAAAGCUUUGUUGUCUAUUUGAGCUCCACAGAAUUCAAGGAUCAAAGAAGACUAGCAGACAAAGGACAUCCUAAUCGCUGUCAGGGUGCUGCCGACAUUCAAAUACACCUCCGCCACCUACUAGCUACAUCAGAAGAAAUUAUGUCAAAAUCCAGCUUGGGGGAGAGCACCCUCAUUUAUCCAGCUAAGUGUUUCUACUCGCGUUUAUACUUUACUCAAAUAAUAAAAAGAUGCAUAAUCAUAAAAACCCAAAUAAAGAUUUUGUGCUUAUAUAUAUAUAUAUUUGCUUAGUUUGCUAAAUAAAUAAAUAAAUACAGUUUGCUAUGAACCCUCAUGAUAAGCUCUCACAUGGAAAUGAUGAAUAGUUGCUCUACCAUGACUAGUUCUCAAAAUUGAAAUCUCUCUCAAGUUUAGGCAUGACUGUUAUGAAUUAAGAUUUGCUCUAAACCUGAACUUGUGGGAAGAGUACUUGAUCUAAAGUCUAAGUCGUUAACGGAUACGAUAUGGGAAGGUUGAGCUGCUGUUUAUCUGUUCCUAGAGAUGCUAGAAUUCUAGAGAAUUUUAUCUUUGAAAUUCUUUAAAAUGUUGCAUGAUGAGUUCCUGUAUGAUGAGAGUUUAAAAUCCUACCACAGCCAUAUAUACAUGCUUAUUAGACUAUGAACCAUACAUUUACUUUUUGCUGCUUAUGAGCAUUGAGUGUGGUCAAGCUGUGUAGACCCUUAGGAGCUUGUCAUGCGGUUAAAAUCAAGAUUCACUUGCACGUUCACUCAUACAUGCUACUUCUACUCCAGAAGUACGCAUCCACAUACAUCCACUCAAUUCCAUCUCUUUUUCCCUGUGAAAUAAAUGCUCGAGAUAUUUUGGUUACUACCACUUGCUACAUUAUUCUAGGAGGGUGAGUGCUCUAAAAAAAUAAAAAUAUGAGGAAAUAAAAAGGGGCAAGUGCCCGGAACCUCGAAGAAAAGGAAAAGUGAGACGGGAGGUAAAAAUGGACAAGUGUCCGAUAGUAGAAUUAGAGAUACAAGAUACCCACCUGAGAGAAAAGAAAAAAAUAUAGAGCAUCUCAUUUUCCUCAAAAAGCUUCAAAGUGCAAGCAAGGUAUGGAUACCCUAAAAAGAGCAAAAGUAGAAUUAGACUUUCACCAUUGUUAUCACCAUCAUCACCAUACACCAUUCAUUCGCCACACAUGCCCAUCUUGAUUUGACUUAUUGACUUUUUCUUCUAGAACCAUGGUUUGACUAUGCAAUAAAUGUCUUGUAAGUAUGUAUUAGCUGUCUCCCACCUAUGAGCUCCAGAUAUCAAAACCUUAUUAGAGUUGGGUGAGAGAGAAGGCAAUGUCACUAUGCCUCAUACCAAAAAUACCACAUACUUUGAGAGAAGGCAUACACCAUUACUGCCUUGGUAAGGAUCCAGAAAUACCACAAAAGAGAGAUUUGAGAGAGUCAUACAAGGAAUCUCUGAGUUUUACUUGAAAAUCUGCAAAAACUCCAGAGCUAUAGUUAAUCAAAGAACAAGAGACAUGGCGCUUGACUUGACCGUUCUAUCCUUUAACUACUCAAGACACAAAUGACGGUUACAAGCCCCAUGGUGGAAGGUAAAAUGAGUAAGUUUAAAUCUUAACAAUUUACCCUAACCCAGAGAUGAGAUCUUGUUUGAACGCAUGUGUACCUUUAAGGCAUGAAACCACUGUAGAAACUCUUGAGUCCAUCCUUGCUCAGGGACGAGCAAGAGGUAAGCUUGGGGGAGUUGUUGACGGUCCUUAAGUACCAAAUAUAAUCAUCAAAUAAAUAAAGAAAAGAAUCUAAAUGCAACGAACACCCAGACUUAGGGUUUUAUCUGACAAAAUUCCACGAGUUUUGGUAUUUGUCUAUUUCUACAUGGGGUUAUUGUAACACCCCAGUGUUAUGGUUGCAUCAAACAUGUGCAUAGCAUGAGCAUCAUCAUGUAUUCAAAAGCAUCCAUGAUCAUCAUCUAUCUUGGGACAUGGCAUCCUUUGCAAAAAUGUGUUUUAAAUGGCUU